AAAAGCGUAAACGGUAUACGAUGGACCCGCGUCUGAUUAGCUAGUUGGCGGGGUAGAGGCCCACCAAGGCGACGAUCAGUAGCCGGCCUGAGAGGGUGACCGGCCACAUUGGGACUGAGACACGGCCCAAACUCCUACGGGAGGCAGCAGUGGGGAAUAUUGCACAAUGGGGGGAACCCUGAUGCAGCGACGCCGCGUGAGUGAAGAAGUAUUUCGGUAUGUAAAGCUCUAUCAGCAGGGAAGAAAAUGACGGUACCUGACUAAGAAGCCCCGGCUAACUACGUGCCAGCAGCCGCGGUAAUACGUAGGGGGCAAGCGUUAUCCGGAUUUACUGGGUGUAAAGGGAGCGUAGACGGUUAUGCAAGUCUGAAGUGAAAGCCCAAGGCUCAACCAUGGGACUGCUUUGGAAACUGUAAAACUGGAGUGCAGGAGAGGUAAGCGGAAUUCCUAGUGUAGCGGUGAAAUGCGUAGAUAUUAGGAGGAACACCAGUGGCGAAGGCGGCUUACUGGACUGUAACUGACGUUGAGGCUCGAAGGCGUGGGGAGCAAACAGGAUUAGAUACCCUGGUAGUCCACGCGGUAAACGA
rnacentral:rRNA from 1 species